UGUGGAUUAAAAACAAGAUGUAUUCGUAGACGAAAAGGGCGCGCAAUACUAUAUACAAACGAAAACGAAAAGGCACAACUAAAUGGUUUUUAGCAUUUGGGUAACUUUGAGAGAACUUUUCAAUUGCGAGGCGAAUACAAUUGGCUGAUAUGUGAACUUCAAGCCCAAGAUCACCUAGAUACAUUAUAAUCACCUGCAACUCUUUUCCUGCUGCUUUUAGAACAGCGCCAGCCAAUGGAGAAUUUCCAAGAUUUGUUAAAUCUUGUUUCGCAACGCCAAUUACAAUUGCAUCUACCUAAAAGAGAAAACACUGGAUCCUUUAGAAUGUCAAUUGCAUUGCAUCUUUGAUCUGUCUGUCUCACCAACAUCCUAAAAUGUAAG